rnacentral:misc_RNA from 1 species
AAGUCGUAACAAGUUUUCCGUAGGUGGAUCAUUAACACGUAUCCAACGUUAAAACCCCGUGAACCUUCAUUAUGCUGGUCUGACCCUCUUCCCCCACGAUCACAACCAUUGCACGAACAUGGAGUGCUUUAGGCAGCACCCACCAUCAAAUGUUUAAAACAACUGUUAACAAUGGAUAUCUUGGUUCUC